GAUGAACGCUAGCUACAGGCUUAACACAUGCAAGUCGAGGGGAAACGAUGAGAGAGCUUGCUCUCUUAGUCGUCGACCGGCGCACGGGUGAGUAACGCGUAUCCAACCUGCCUCUGACCAAGGGAUAACCCGUCGAAAGUCGGACUAAUACCUUAUGCAGUCGUCGGAAGUCAUCUGAUGACGACGAAAGAUUUCAUCGGUGAGAGAUGGGGAUGCGUCUGAUUAGCUUGUUGGCGGGGUAACGGCCCACCAAGGCGACGAUCAGUAGGGGUUCUGAGAGGAAGGUCCCCCACAUUGGAACUGAGAAACGGUCCAAACUCCUACGGGAGGCAGCAGUGAGGAAUAUUGGUCAAUGGGCGUAAGCCUGAACCAGCCAAGUAGCGUGCAGGAUGACGGCCCUAUGGGUUGUAAACUGCUUUUAUGCGGGGAUAAAGUGAGGGACGUGUCCUUCAUUGAAGGUACCGCAUGAAUAAGGACCGGCUAAUUCCGUG
rnacentral:rRNA from 1 species